rnacentral:lncRNA from 1 species
UAGAAUUAAGAGAGGCUGGGAGAAUCUUCCUGUAGGAGGAAGAAUUUUAGACAGUUCCUGGCACAUUGUAGGCAACUGCUAAAUGCUUAUUGACUGACAGCCGAAGAUAGUACGUGUUAAAAUUUAGUCUUUCUACUAUUAAGUGCUCUUGGACAAAGUCUUGAUUGCUCUGCCCUAGCUAUGGUUCUGGUUUGUGGAAUAGCAUGACUGAAAGUUCAGAAAAAAGGAAAGCACAGGUAGCAUUUUGAGAAAAAUGAGUAGAAUUUUAGGAUUUAGAGGAGUGACUCAUUAAUGAUCAGAUUCACUACCCUCAUUUUCUGCACAAGGAUGAUUUGGUUCAAAUGCCUUGCCAAAGGAAAUGCAAUUAGUAAAUAGCUGAUUUGGGGUUUGAGUCCAGGUCUCCUUUCUUCAAAUUCAUUUCUCUUUUCAUUGUACCGGUCUCAGUUAGUUUGAUUGGAGCAGAGAGUUUGUAUAGCUUGCUUCCUUCCUUUCCCACAUCUAAUGAACUUCUCUUUCACUUUUCCUCCAUGGAUUCAAACAGAAAUUCCUAGGCAGCAGCAGUCUCAAGAUGGAAAAUAUCCUUUACUGUUCUGGAAUUGUUGGAGCAACAUUAAAUGCCCCUGAAUCUUGGCACCAAUAUUUGGACUCUCCUUUAUCAGUCAGAAUCGCCCUCAACAAGACAGCCUUCUAUGGUAUCCUUGCAAGGAUAGAGUUAAUGGACUCUGAAGAAAGCCUGUGCAUGGUGUGAAAGUGAGGAUGAGAAUAUAUAGGACUCCCUCCAUCUCACCACUCUCGUCUCAGUAAUAUAAUUUGCCUUUAAAUCAGCAGUGUGUUUACUAAUGGAGGAAGGGAGGAGGGAAUCACCUCUCUUCACAUCUGGACCUUAGCAUGUCUGGAGCCUCCAUGGUGUGGAGUUCAACAGAAUGACGGGGUCAACUGCUGGGUUAAGGACAUUAGAUGGAUGAAAUGCCCAGGGACACAUUACUGAGACUGAGUUUAUUGAAUUGGAGAGUGAUGAAUAUUAUUAAAUUGGCCGAUCACACCCAUCAUUCUGCCAGGGAGACUACUAGAGCUCAGAACAAAUAACCACUGGAAGAACAAUUUGCAACUGCAUGUGUACAUACAAAUCCUAAUCCUGAAAUCAAGUCCCAGCUGUGUGAAUGUAGGUGAAUCACUUUGCUUUCUUGAUUCUCAGUUUUCUCAUUCUCAAUGGGAAUGACAAUAUUUGCCCUUAAUGCCUUACAGGGAUGUUGGGAGAGCAGUGUUUUAUAAAGUUCUCUAUGCAUGUGGAUUCUUUUUAAUAAAAUCAUAAAUAGAUGAUAAACA